AAGCGCUUGCAGCCAGAGUGGGCCCUGGGGGCUCCGCCCGUCCUCGGACGGGCGUCCUCCCCCGGGGUCCGGCCAGCAUCAGCUCGGCCGGCCGGACAAAGGCCGUGGGAAUGUGGCACCUCCGGGUGUGUUAUAGCCCGCGGCACAAUGCGGCCUGGCUGGGCUGAGGCCAGCGCCUUCGGGCACGGAUGCUGGCGUAAUGGCUGUCAGCGG
rnacentral:rRNA from 1 species